UAGGUGUUUGCAGAUGACCAGGAUGUUUGU
rnacentral:piRNA from 1 species